GCGCUGCUGAGGAGUCCCACACUAGGACGAGACAGCUGUCCAGUAC
rnacentral:hammerhead_ribozyme from 1 species